rnacentral:rRNA from 1 species
GCGAGAAACCUUUGCAAUGUGCGCAAGCACGACAAGGUUAAUCCGAGUGUUUCCUGCUAAAGGAAUCUUUUGUUAGUUCUAAAACCACUGAUGAAUAAGAGGUGGGCAAGUUCUGGUGUCAGCCGCCGCGGUAAAACCAGCACCUCAAGUGGUCAGGAGGAUUAUUGGGCCUAAAGCAUCCGUAGCCGGUUCUGUAAGUUUUCGGUUAAAUCCACUAGCUUAACUAAUGGGCUGCCGAAAAUACUGCAGAACUAGGGAGUGGGAGAGGUAGACGGUACUCGGUAGGAAGGGGUAAAAUCCUUUGAUCUAUUGAUGACCACCUGUGGCGAAGGCGGUCUACCAGAACACGUUCGACGGUGAGGGAUGAAAGCUGGGGGAGCAAACCGGAUUAGAUACCCACGUAGUCCCUGAGCGGGCUGGCAAGGCGCAU